AAACCUCAGUCACGUUACUGUCCAAACAUUUUUCCUUCCGGUUCAGUUUCUGCUUCUGUCAAUCUCGUGCAGGAUCUGGGAGUGAUAUGCUGUGCUACUACAUCACUAUAACAAGAGUUUCAAGUGCUGGCCUGUAUUCAUUAGAAUGUGUGCAAGCAUUUUUGGCAGUGUUAGGUUAAUAGA